UCUGGUGGAAAUAGCGGAGAGGUCACACCUGUUCCCAUGCCGAACACAGAAGUUAAGUUCUCCAGCGCCGAUGGUAGUUGGGGCAUUGCCCCUGCGAGAGUAGGACUCCGCCAGGC
rnacentral:rRNA from 1 species